CUGUUUGGAGCUUUGUUUUUUGUGUGCAAUUUGUGAGUGUAACAGGAUGGCUAUACACUUCUUACUAAGAAGCAGUUUAACAUUCCAAUGCUUGCCAUGGGCUGCCACAUCUAUAAUAAGAUUUGGUGAGGGGAUAGUUCAGUGGUCAGGUCUGGAUCUCUCCUGAAAAAAUCUGGCGAUGUGGGACUCAGAAUUAAACAUGAAUAGCAGGCUUCCAUGUGGAUAUCUAACCAAAGGCCACACAUUGCAAAACCAUUCAUGGCAGCCAUUGCAAAUACAAAUUUUUGUCCUAAAUAAUCACUAUUGUAAUUUAAAACAUUGUAAGUAUAAUUAUUGUAAGUUAGAGAUCACAUGCACAAUAAAACUUCUUCGAUCAAUAUGAUCAGGAUGAAAAUAGGGUAAAAUAUUUGAAUAUGUCAAACUAACCAGAAUCUUUAGUUAUUUAAUUGAUAAAAUUUCAUAAUUACUCAAAUAGCAAAAUAUUUAAAAUAUUAAUAAAUAUUUUUUCUAUGUUUGUUUAGAUUUAAAGAUAUACAGUGAAACCCCGAUUUUGAAACUUUUUGGGGACCGGCCCAAAAAGUCGAACGAGCCGGGAAAACGCAUAAAACGGGAAACUCUGAUGACGAC
rnacentral:lncRNA from 1 species